rnacentral:rRNA from 1 species
UACGGUGAAUACGUUCCCGGACCUUGUACACACCGCCCGUCAAGCCAUGGAAGCUGGGUGUACCUAAAGUCGGUAACCGCAAGGAGCCGCCUAGGGUAAAACUAGUAACUGGGCU